ACGGAGGGUGCAAGCGUUAUCCGGAUUCACUGGGUUUAAAGGGUGCGUAGGUGGGCAGGUAAGUCAGUGGUGAAAUCUCCGAGCUUAACUCGGAAACUGCCAUUGAUACUAUCUGUCUUGAAUUUUCUGGAGGUGAGCGGAAUAUGUCAUGUAGCGGUGAAAUGCUUAGAUAUGACAUAGAACACCCAUUGCGAAGGCAGCUCACUACGGGACAAUUGACACUGAGGCACGAAAGCGUGGGGAUCAAACAGGA
rnacentral:rRNA from 1 species